AUUGAACGCUGGCGGCAUGCUUUACACAUGCAAGUCGAACGGUAACAGGCCGCAAGGUGCUGACGAGUGGCGAACGGGUGAGUAAUGCAUCGGAACGUGCCCAGUCGUGGGGGAUAAAGCGGCGAAAGCUGCGCUAAUACCGCAUACGAUCUAUGGAUGAAAGCGGGGGACCGUAAGGCCUCGCGCGAUUGGAGCGGCCGAUGUCAGAUUAGGUAGUUGGUGGGGUAAAGGCUCACCAAGCCAACGAUCUGUAGCUGGUCUGAGAGGACGACCAGCCACACUGGGACUGAGACACGGCCCAGACUCCUACGGGAGGCAGCAGGGGGGAAUUUUGGACAAUGGGCGCAAGCCUGAUCCAGCAAUGCCGCGUGCAGGAAGAAGGCCUUCGGGUUGUAAACUGCUUUUGUACGGAACGAAACGGUCCUGGUUAAUACCCGGGGCUAAUGACGGUACCGUAAGAAUAAGCACCGGCUAACUACGUGCCAGCCGCCGCAGUAAUAC
rnacentral:rRNA from 1 species